ACACUUGCUCCGGGGAACCAGGAAGCAGGAACUCGCGGGCUCCAUUCCCAGAUCCGCUGCCAGUGCCCCCUCGCUUGCCCUCCCCGGCUUUAGCUCUUUCCGUUUUUCUCUCCUGCCCCUUGGGCAUCUGUAAAACCGCCACUACGAGUAAACCACAUGGGAGAAAGGGCACUCGGUUUGAAGUCCAUGUGGCAUGCCAUGGGACGCCUUCUGGGCUCAGUGACUCAAUGAAUAUUCAUCUAAGAUGUGUGAUGAGUCCAGAUACUGUGAAGAUCAGGAUCAGCCGUCAGCACCUGCCCUCAAAGAGCUCAGAGUUUAGCUGGGGAGGCCUCGGUGUAUACUGCCAUCGAUCCAGCCUGGUGCCUGGGAUAGGGAAGUGCAUGAUAAAUGCUGCAUAAAUGAAAAACAAUUGCUACCGUGGAAGAUAUUGAAAGGAAAGUGCUAUCGAUGCCAAAGUUGUUUCCAAGAGAGGUAUUCCAAAAGUGUUUCAAGCAAUGACUGAGCUAAGCAUCCAGUCCUGCAAGGUGAAGGCGUUGAAGACGCAGCCCUCAUUUGAAUAGAUGAAUUGUGGUAUUCUUGUUAAAUAAUGAAUCAUAUCAAGGCUUGGUCACACCUCAUGCACAUGAAAAGACCAAAACGCAAGGCAGCAUAUCAGCGCCACGUGAAGUACACACUAAGCACCAACUAUUUAAUUCAGCAAUCAUGGGGGGCCCGGUGGCUCACGCCUGUCAUCUUAGCAAUUUGGGAGGCCGAGGCAGGUGGAUCGCUUGAGCCCAGGAGUUCGAGAUCAGCCUGGGCAUCAUGGUGGCCUGCACCUGUAGUCCCAGCUACUCAGGAGGCUGAGGUGGGAGGAUAGUUUGACCCCAGAAAGUUGAGGCUGCAGUGAGCCGUGAAUGCACCACUACACACCAGCCUGGAUGACAGAGCGAAACCCUGUCUCAAAGUAAUUAAUAAUAAUUAUAUUAAUUCAGCAAUCAUUGGAGUGUUUGUUGACUUUGACACCGCACUAAGGGAAGGAGUAGGUCCCUUUCCUCAAGUAGUUCCAGUCUAGGUGAGAAGACAGACAAUUAUGCAAAGUUCAAUGGGAACCCAAGGGAAGGAACAGUGAAAUCCAAUUACAGUGCAUUUGAUCUAGCUCUUGAGGAUAAAUGAGGGUUUGCCAAACUGAGACUGGAAACCCCAUUUAAGACACAUGGAAUAGCACCUACAAAGGUGAGGCAGCCAGUCUGCUGGUGUGUUUAGCGAAGCUAUGUAAACUGGUGUGGCUGGAGAAUAGAGAUGUGGAUAAUAAGAUUGAAGGAAGUGGAUACCAGACUUUGAAGGUCAUUGCGUGCCAUGCUGAAGAGUUAGGCAUCAAAAAAGACACAAGUGUGACUUAAUCAGCAGCACCAUCAAGAAGACCGUCUUGCAACAGUCUUGCAGUUGAACUGGAGACUCGGGGUGCCCUAAAACUCAAGCAGUGGUCCUGAGGUUGAGGAGGAGGGGAAGGAGCUAGGAAACGGUUCAGAUCAUUUGGCUGUGUAGUGAGAGAGAAAACAAAAAUCGCUAACCUUUAACAGCUGAACAAUGGUUGGUGUCAGUAAGUGAGAUAAGAAUUCAGGGCUGGGCACAGUGGCUCAUACCUGUAAUCCCAGCACUUUGGGAGGCUGAGGUGGGUGGAUCACGAGGUCAGGAGUUCCAGACCAGCCUGACCAACAUGGAGAAACCCCAUCUCUACUAAAAAUACAAUAUUAGCUGGGCGUGGUGGUGCAUGCCUGUAAUCCCAGCUACUCGGGAGGCUGAGGCAGGAGAAUCACUUGAACCCAGGAGGUGGAGGUUGCAGUGAGCUGAGAUCACGACAUUGCACUGCAGCCUGGGCAAAAAGAAUGAAACUCCGUCUCAAAAAAAAAAAAAAGAAAGAAAGAAAUUCAAGCAAAAGGGGAGUGGGGUGAGGUCGGAGGGGAAUCCAGCCAGGUUCAGGGGACGGAGAGGAAAGCAGGACAGAGUCCAGAGUAGAAACAGGAAAGCAACCCUAGUGUCACGGUUAGGGUAGACUGCUGACAACGAACUUGGAGAUCUUUAUUCCCUCUAAGUCUUAACUAUCCAAGACCAUCAGUGAUCCAAGCUGGGAAGGUGUGUCUUCAGGAUCUUGACUUUCUGGCCCAUACCCUUAUAGUCUCCUGGAGAGCUCUGGAGCUUUGGGGACCUCAGGCUUGGAGCUGUUGAGGAAUGUCUAGGUAAAGGAAAGUUAACAGAUGUACAAAUUCUGAAGAGUUAAAGGCAAGGUGAUUUUACCCACACAUCAGCCCUUCCCAGGGAUGUUUACAUUUCUUAAGGGACAGGACCCUAAUUCACUGACCCUCAGGAAUGAGUCUUUUGGUGGAAAUAUUUCAGCUGUCUGGAUCCUACAAAUGGAUCCUCACUCAAGCUUGAUGAUGGACUGUGCAGGAGGAGGAGAGUAAGGGUGUGGGCAGGGCUGGGUGGUUUCAUGUAGGGGUAUUUGUGUUGGCUAUAUUCCAAAGUCAAAGUUAAAAAUCAAUUAAUUGGGCACAGUGGCUCACAUCAGUAAUCCCAGUACUUUGGGAGGCCGAGGUUGGAGGAUCUCUUCAGCCCAGGAGUUUGAGACCAGCCUGAGCAAUAUAAUGAGACCUUACCUCUACCAAAUAAAUAAAUAAAUAAAAAUUAGCUGGGCAUAGUAGCACACACCUCUGGUCCCAGCUACUUGGGAGGCUGAAGUGGGAGGCUUGUUUGAGCUCGGGAGGUCAAGGCUGCAGUGAGUCGUGACCUCGCCACUGCAUUCCAGCCUGGGCGACAGAGCAAGACGUUGUCUCAGAAAAAAUAAAUAAAAUAAUAUAAAAUAAACCAGACACAUUCAUGAUAUAAGUGGAAAAGCAGAUUCUAAAAAUUAUAUAUAGGGGCUGGGCAUGGUGGCUCACACCUGUAAUUCCAGCACUUUGGGAGGCUGAGACAGGCGGAUCACCUGAGGUCAGGAGUUCGAGACCAGCCUUGCCAACAUGGUGAAACCCCAUCUCUACUAAAAAUACAAAAAAUUAGCCAGGCGCGAUGGCACGCGCCUUUAGUCCCAGCAACUUGGGAGGCUGAGGCAGGAGAAUCACUUGAACACAGGAGGUGGAGGUGGCAGUGAGCCUAAAUCGCACCGUUGCACUCCAGCCUGGGCAGCAAGAGUGAAACUCCAUUUCAAAAAAUAAAUAAAUAGCUGGGCGUGGUGGCUGACACCUGUAAUCCCAGCACUUUGGGAGGCUGAGGCGGGCGGAUCACCUGAGGUUGAGAGUUCGAGACCAGCCUGACCAACGUGGAGAAACCCCGUCUCUACUAAAAAUAGAAAAUUAGCCGGGCGUGGUGGCGCAUGCCUGUAAUCCCAGCUACUCAGGAGGCUGAGACAGGAGAAUUGCUUGAACGCUGGAGGCAGAGGUUGCGGUGAGCAGAGAUUGCGCCAUUGCACUCUAGCCUGGGCAGCAAGAGCGAAACUCCGUCUCCAAAAAAUAAAAUAAAAUAAAUAAAUAAAUAAAAACUAUAUAUCAGAUGACCCUGUUUUUGAAAAAAGUUGAAAAAGUAUUUUAAAGGGAUUAUUUCUGAAAGUUUGCAA
rnacentral:lncRNA from 1 species